GCGACAAGUUUGAGGUUUGCGAGGCGACGUUUCGCUGCCUUAUAGCAACUAUUCGAUUGUCAGGAGUCUGGAUCAGUGGACGGGAAUUAGUUUGAAGAAGGAGAAAAUUCAGAAGCAGAUCACAGAAGUGGCGAAGUCUUCGCACCCCGAAGCAAGUUCCGGCAAAACUACAGCCCUUGACCGCUCCACCGUAAAAAUAACCAAUGAAGGCAAUGAAAGCAGUAGAAAAUCGAAUCCUUAAGCUACCUACUACAAUUAUUUUCCAUGCAGUGUAUUUAUCAGUAAUGCUCUGAAAAUACGGAGAUUUUCUCACCGUAAACGGAAGAACGAGGAGGGAUUUUUUAACUUGAAUGUUGCACUCAUGAAAAUUCUAAGUGAAACAUGAACGGCCUAAAACCGGGCUGUAAUGGAAAGGAAUAGUCGUUCGGUAAACUAAUUUAAAGUGUUCCACUUUUUAAUAGAGAUUAUCUUGCUCAUACUGUGCAUCGCAUCCCUCGCAGCCUUGCUUAAAGAUACUACACACCGUAUCUUCACUCCGCGCUUCAGUGUGGAGAUCGUGCAAAAUGUAACUUCACUUUGUGCUUCAUUGCGAUCGAAUUCUUCUAUUCCGUAGACUGAGCACUUCUUGGUCUUUGGAUUGCAUUGCACUCAUUUUUUCUUGUAGUUUUCCUCAAGUUCGCUUCUACUGUCAGCUAAAUCUGCCUAUAGGCUCCUUCACAAUGUUCUAUAAGGCUUAUCAUUGGUGUACAACUGUACAUAUGUGGAUAAUUAAUGCCACAGCAUGAGAAAAGUAUUCUGACUUUUGGAAGAUUAAGGGAGAUUUCUUUAGGGAAUAGCAUCCAGUAAUUCGAUGGCUAGUGAACCAUCUUGCACUGAAGUUAUAGGCUGAUGGUGGUUCUUGUCGGUCGCUCAACCUGACUCGGUCUCAUUGCGUUGCAAUGAAGACGACACUAAAUCUUGUUUCGAAAUAUACGUUUUGUACAGAAAACAAAUUUUCUCGACGUAAAGUAUCAUAGUGCCCGGUAUUAAAAAAUAUAAAAUUCUGUUAGUUGCUUACUUCUGUCGAGAAAAGAUACUCCUGAUUUUUGCAACGAACUCUAACGCAGAACAUUCUCCGCAAAACAUUUAUGUGCAAAACAUCCUCCGACGACGUCUGAUGUCCCGGAAUGUUGAUAGUUCAUUGUAAUUAUCGAACAGCACCUGCAAAUACUACCUAUAUCGAUAAUGGCAAAUACUCACUGUAAUAUCAUUGAACUUUUUUU